rnacentral:lncRNA from 1 species
CCGACCCCUCCUCAUCACACGCCGCCACCUGUCUCUUCGAUGGCCGGCAACACCAAGAACCACCCGAUGCUCAUGAACCUUCUUAAAGAUAAUCCUGCCCAGGAUUUCUCAACCCUUUAUGGAAGCAGCCCUUUAGAAAGGCAGAACUCCUCUUCCGGCUCACCCCGCAUGGAAAUAUGCUCGGGGAGCAACAAGACCAAGAAAAAGAAGUCAUCAAGAUUACCACCUGAGAAACCAAAGCACCAGACU